rnacentral:rRNA from 1 species
UGGGGAAUCUUGCGCAAUGGGCGAAAGCCUGACGCAGCAACGCCGCGUGCGGGAAGAAGGCUCUCGGGUUGUAAACCGCUUUCAGAAGGAACGAAACUGACGGUACUUUCAGAAGAAGGUGCGGCCGACUACGUGCCAGCAGCCGCGGUGACACGUAGGCACCAAGCGUUGUCCGGAUUUAUUGGGCGUAAAGAGCUCGUAGGCGGUUGAGUAAGUCGGGUGUGAAAACUUUGGGCUUAACCCAAAGCGUGCAUCCGAUACUGCUGUGACUAGAGUUCGGUAGGGGAGCGGGAAUUCCUAGUGUAGCGGUGAAAUGCGCAGAUAUUAGGAGGAACACCGGUGGCGAAGGCGCCGCUCUGGGCCGAAACUGACGCUGAGGAGCGAAAGCGUGGGUAGCAAACA